rnacentral:piRNA from 1 species
UUUAUCCACACGGCUAUCAGU